rnacentral:rRNA from 1 species
AUGAACGCUGGCGGCGUGCUUAACACAUGCAAGUCGAACGGUGAAGGCGGAGCUUGCUCUGCUGGAUCAGUGGCGAACGGGUGAGUAACACGUGAGCAAUCUGCCCCUGACUCUGGGAUAAGCGCUGGAAACGGCGUCUAAUACUGGAUACGAGCUGCGAAGGCAUCUUCAGCAGCUGGAAAGAACUUCGGUCAGGGAUGAGCUCGCGGCCUAUCAGCUUGUUGGUGAGGUAACGGCUCACCAAGGCGUCGACGGGUAGCCGGCCUGAGAGGGUGACCGGCCACACUGGGACUGAGACACGGCCCAGUCUCCUACGGGAGGCAGCAGUGGGGAAUAUUGCACAAUGGGCGAAAGCCUGAUGCAGCAACGCCGCGUGAGGGACGACGGCCUUCGGGUUGUAAACCUCUUUUAGCAGGGAAGAAGCGAAAGUGACGGUACCUGCAGAAAAAGCGCCGGCUAACUACGUG